AGGAGGCGAUCCGUCCAUGCCCAACCGUCACACUCGGCUCGGCCCCACGACCUCACCUCCACCUUCCCGAGCGCCAUCGCCGCCACCCUCCCGUGCCGGCCUCUGCCUUCCUCCGCAACACCGGCGGGAUCCGCCUCCCUUCCCCACGCCGCCGGCCGCCGCCUCCCUUCCCCACGCCGCCGGCCGCCGCCUCCCUUCCCCACGCCGCCGGACGCCGCGUCCCUCCCCAACGCCGCCCUCCGCCGCCUCCGUCCCCAACGCCGCCCUCCGCCGCCUGCCUCUCCCGCGCCGCCCUCCGCCGCCUGCCUCCCCCGUGCCACCCUCCGCUGCCUCCCUCCCGGUGUCUUGCCACCGCGUAUCUUUCGGGCGAUGCCGAUUGCUCCCUCCACAGGCCGAUUGCUCCCUCCACAGCAACAACUACGUUGGCGUGCACAGGUGCAUUGGCUCUCCGGCCUCCUCUCUCUACCACUAGUAUAUAGUCCGCGAGGUGAGUAAGUGGUGACAGAUUAGCUGCUGCUUCUGCUAUUAUACAUGAACUGAAGAAAUUUGGGAAGGAUUUGAUGCUUAUUGAGCUACUACAGAAUGAGUGGCAUUUGUGCCCCGUGGGUGUUUGUUCUAAUGCUUAAGAGAGGAGUGUGUUCCAUUUUUGCUCACAAAAAAAUUGUACGAAAUAAAUUUCUUUUCCAAUAUACACACAUGUGCUCAACAAAAAACAGGAUGAAGUAUUGAAGUUUAUGCUUGCGUACAACUUUCACUCUAUGUUGGUUCACUCAAAAAACACGUGCAGGUGAGGUUGGUGAUUGCUUCUUGCUGCCUCUAUUUUUAUCAUGAUUUGGUGUGUGCACUGCAGGAGUGUUUUUGUUCUGAGAUCAGUUGCUCAACGACAGAAUUGUUAUUGCACAGUACAUGUAUUACUACUGUGAAGGUUCAGAAAUCAGAACUCAAAGAAGUAUUGACAGCAUAACUGCAUAACUACUGUAUAUUCAAGGAGUCGGGUUUUGCUCCUGCGUCAUCUCGUCUCCUCCGUUCAGCAAAAGCCUCCAGAUAAGUUCACACAUAUGGUUUUGUUCUUUCUAUAAUUCUUGAGUCCAAACACCUUUGUUUUUUGUUCCUGAGAAAUUAAAUAAACCUGUAGAAGUUUGUGGUAUAAAAUUCUGUAAGUUCGAAAUUGGGAAACUGGUAAGUGCAGACAAAAUUAAAACUGUCAAAGAACUGAGGCUACGCCACACCAGUACAAACUUUUUAAAUGUUUGAAUUUUGUUACAGCAAAAACUGAAUGGAUGGCAAGAUGAAUAUAAUUAUUAUUAAGAGUUUCUUUUUGAACGUCUCCGGUUAAUAUACAUGAACUUGAUUAUCUUUUUAACCAGUUAAAUAUACAUGGUUGGCAAGAUGACUAUAGUUGUUAUAGCAAAAACAGUACAUUUUUUCAAGAAAAGUUUCUGUUUGAACUUCUCCGAUUAAUAUAGAUGAACUCAAUUAUCUUUUUAAUAUGCACUCACAUGAGCUCGUUUGGAUUUGUGUGUAUAUUUGUAACACAAUCAAUUGAGAUCUCGAGAGACCGUAAGUUCAGUCGACCUUGGCAUCACGAGCGGGUUCAGUUCGAUCUCGCACAGUGGGCAGGUCCCCGAUGGUGUGUGCGUCAGGUCUACUCGCACGAGUGGACAUCAGAUCACGCAAGUGGGCAGGUCCCCAAUGGUAUUCUCAUUCCCAAGAACCUACAAAAAAAAUCAACUUAUAUUGAUAGUUUUGGAUCUAGUCCUUAUGGCCCGGUUCUAGUAACUGUGUCGCCCGCGCGUUUUAGGUUUUUGUUAUCUCUCCUGAAUGCUUUUGAAGAGCUUCAAUUGUUUUUAGUUCAUCUUUUGAAUUCUUUUUAGUACAUCUACUUGUACCUAAGCAGGGGAAAGCUAGAAGAGAGGGGGUAUACAUGGCGUCGGAGAUGCUGCUCAGGAGGAUCCAUUCCAUCUGCUGUCUCGCCGGGGACCGCCGAGCGCAGCUGUUCGGCAGCGGGGAGGGGAUCCAUUGUCUCGUUUCUCCGGUCAGCCAUCCAUCAUUCUGCAGCAACGCAUAUGAACAAGCCGGUGCGGGCUUGCUCAAGCAAGGUUUGCCCUUUACUUCACCCCCGAAUUUCUCCCAGUAAUGGAUGGAUGCGGUAUCUCUUCCCGCAACUUAGCUCAUGGGUAAUGCGUUGAAUACUCAUGGACGCAUUUCUCCACCAAAUUAACAUUAGUGUUCCUGGAUUUCUUUGUGACGUAUAACGGCUGAAGGUUUUCUUGGUUUGAACGAAUAAAUACAAGGUUGUUCAGUGUUUUAUUUACAGUUUCAAAUGGGAGGAUGAGGUAGCCGUGAAACAAACUUAACUUGUGCAUACCUCUGAACAAAUAAACAACAGUGAUAUUUCUGGAGAUGGUUAGUGCCUAUGUGUCUCUUGCUUCUCUUGAAGGGUUCGCCUAUUUAUCCCAGUAGUAUGCUGCUCUUUUGUAUGUUGAACUCAAAACCAGUUAGUGCAAAAGUCUAGAACUACAACCAUCAAAGAAGUGCCAGUAUCUUAGUUCUGUUAGAAAUAUAUGCAUUUUUGUCUAUAUAAAAAGGACAACAAAAAUAUGUGUUGGAAGUUCAAAGAACGUAAGAUGUUCAGGAAAGAGUUUCAAAAUAAAAAGGUUCUAGAAGGUCAUAUAUUAAAUCUGAGAAAGUUCGGAGAUGAACAAUAAAUAAGUAUAAUAACAACAAAGAAAAAAUUGUGAGAGAAAUGCAGUUUUGGCCAGUUCUUAUUUGAGCGACCAAGGCGGAUCCGCACAUGGAGUAGCUUUGAAUGGUGGUCGUGCGCGAAGGGAGGUUGGGGUAGGGUAGGGGAGUAGAAUAUGUUAUGUUACUACAGUUCUAGUUGUAUUUCUAACAGAGCUCAUAUAGUCUUUAGUCUUUUUUUGAAAAGGAACACAAGUGUAUUCCUAGCUCGAUGUAUAUAUAGUUCUAGUUGUAUUUCUAACAGAGUUCACUCGUCUAUCGACGGAGACGAAUACCAAGCUGAGGACAGUCGGUUUGCAAGAACCACAACCCACACGGCCAUGUGUGAUAUUGCAGCAAAAAUAUUGGUUUUAUGUGGAGGUGAUCAGUGUAGCACCGGGCGACCCCGACCACCGGCACCACUGCUUCCUGACCUCCCGCUUGCCGCCCCGCCCGUCCCCUCAUAGGACCUCACCACUGUCGUCUGUCUACCUACUUCCUCGGUGAGCCCAUGCUCUUCUGCUCUUGACGCUCGAGCCGCCUGCACUUAUGUUCUCUGUUCAAAAAUUCCCAAAGCAUCAGUACUUUGUAUCAGGACAGGAUACACCAUGUUAGUUUUGCAAAUUUUCAUUAUGCUUGUGUGUCCAAAAUAUGUACAGUUACUGCUUUUGAUUUCUUGCAGCGCAGAGAAGUUACCCUGUUGCGGGCUGACCUGGAGGCUCCUUCUCCACGUCGACACAAUUGCAGGACCAACUUGCUACUGACCACGCAAGCUUCCUGAUGGAGCUCGUGUCCAAUGAUACUGAAAGGAAAAACUGCUCUAGUUUUGAACUUAUUAUUCAGCCAUGCUAUUACUGAGUGAAAAAUGAGUGAAAGUGUAUUGCAAUUGAUCUCUCUUAGAUCAUGACAAUCCUCUAUUUAUCCUUUGUUUGCUUGUUUUUUGGUCUAUAAUUCAAGAACUUUGACCUUCGUAAUUCGGUUUUUGGUUAAUUUGUUGUUAUGCCCAGUACAAACCAUUAAAUCUGAAGAGGCUUCUAAUAGUGAGAAAAUGUGCAGUCGGUGUGGUGUAUAUGUCAUUCAUGUAUGAAAAUGUGCAGUCGGUGUGGUGUAUAUGUUAUUCAUGUACAUGUAUUAUAUGUGUGGAAAAUUUUCUGUA